AAGAGCCGAUCCACCGCUUGCUGCGGAGUGCCGGCCGAAUCCUGCUCCAGCACGGGCCAGGGAGCUGCGAACCCGGCCCGGCGAUGGAGAUGCACGACGCGCUCGAGAUUCCACGGAGCGUCGGCGGUCGGUUGAUAAGACUUCCACAAGGACAGGCCGGUUUCAGGAUUCAUACCAUUGGCCUCAUCAUGAUGCGAGAACAGCCAAGACAGAAACGCCUUUCAGGGAAGCCGUUCGACGGUGAUGUCUCCCAGGUCGAGCGUUUCAUUCGCUUUGACCUGGAACUUCUUGGCGAUUUGGAAUUGGUUGUCGAUCCGCGUAACAAUUUGGUAGAUCGCG
rnacentral:misc_RNA from 1 species